rnacentral:misc_RNA from 1 species
GAUGAAGAACGUAGCGAAAUGCGAUAAGUAGUGUGAAUUGCAGAAUUCAGUGAAUCAUCGAAUCUUUGAACGCACAUUGCGCCCCUUGGUAUUCCAUGGGGCAUGCCUGUUCGAGCGUCAUUUGUACCUUCAAGCUCUGCUUGGUGUUGGGUGUUUGUCUCGCCUCUGCGUGUAGACUCGCCUUAAAACAAUUGGCAGCCGGCGUAUUGAUUUCGGAGCGCAGUACAUCUCGCGCUUUGCACUCAUAACGACGACGUCCAAAAGUACAUUUUUACACUCUUGACCUCGGAUCAGGUAGGGAUACCCGCUGAACUUAAGCAUUUCAAUAAGCGGAGGA